UACGGGGGGGGCAAGCGUUGUUCGGAAUUACUGGGCGUAAAGGGCUCGUAGGUGGCCAACUCAGUCGGACGUGAAAUCCCUCGGCUUAACCGGGGAACUGCGUCCGAUACUGGAUGGCUUGAGAUCGGGAGAGGGAUGCGGAAUUCCAGGUGUAGCGGUGAAAUGCGUAGAUAUCUGGAGGAACACCGGUGGCGAAGGCGGCAUCCUGGACCGACACUGACGCUGAGGAGCGAAAGCCAGGGGAGCAAACGGG
rnacentral:rRNA from 1 species